UUGGCAGCACUGAAGGAUGGAACUCUCUCUUUAUCCACAGAACAGGUACAGCCCAGACAGAGCAAGCUUCUCUGUCCUAUUGCACUUCCAUACUUCAGUUCCGACCUGAAGGAACCACCUUUUGGGGGAAGUUAGCUCAGACUCUCUCUCUUCUGAGACUGCCAGCAAGGAUGCAAAU
ensembl:misc_RNA